rnacentral:lncRNA from 1 species
AGUGAUGCAGUGCCAGAUGGUAAAGCACUAAAAGUGAGCCUAAUCUGCUGUCUCUAAAGGUUUUAGGUGUCUGCAAGACCCUUUGGAACAUCCCCAGCAUGGUGGUGCAGGUUUUGGAAGGAUUCCAAGGGGCUUUUGUGGAACAUGUGAAGAUGUGAAUUUCAGUUAUCCUGAGAAAAGCUGCUGAGUGAAUAGUCCCACAGAACAUGACUGCAUUCAGACACUAAUGAUCUAUUUUGUGCACCAACAAAAUGUUGUACUCUUGAAUUUUUCCAAAUGUUGAUGAAAACAUAUUUGGUAGUAAACUGACAAUUAUUUUCAAAAUUUUAAUCUGCUACACCCUUAUUCUGUGUUUAAUACUUGAGGAAAAGAAUGGCUUGCAAAUGGAUGCACUAAUAAUAGCUGAUUAAAAUGCAUUAAUUUAACAUCACCA